ACGACGCUGGCGGCGUGCCUAACACAUGCAAGUCGAGCGGGAAGCUUUUAAUUGAGACUUCGGUUGAUUUUAGAAGUGGAGAGCGGCGGACUGGUGAGUAACGCGUGAGCAACCUGCCUAUUAGAGGGGAAUAACAAUGAGAAAUCAUUGCUAAUACCGCAUAUGCUCACAGUACCACAUGGUACAGUGAGGAAAGGAGUAAUCCGCUAAUAGAUGGGCUCGCGUCUGAUUAGCUAGUUGGUGGGGUAACGGCCUACCAAGGCGACGAUCAGUAGCCGGACUGAGAGGUUGAACGGCCACAUUGGGACUGAGAUACGGCCCAGACUCCUACGGGAGGCAGCAGUCGGGAAUAUUGCGCAAUGGAGGAAACUCUGACGCAGUGACGCCGCGUAUAGGAAGAAGUUUUUCGGAAUGUAAACUAUUGUCGUUAGGGAAGAGAAAGGACGGUACCUAAGGAGGAAGCCCCGGCUAACUAUGUG
rnacentral:rRNA from 1 species